UGAACGCUAGCGGCAGGCCUAAUACAUGCAAGCCGAACGGCAAGAUUUGUAGCAAUACAGAUCCUAGAGUGGCGUAAGGGUGCGUAACACGUAUGCAAUCUGCCCGCAACCGGAGUAUAGCUCCCCGAAAGGGGAAUUAACGCUCCAUAGGAACACACGAGGGCAUCUGAGAGUGUUUAAACGCGAGGGUUGUGGAUGAGCAUGCGCAUGAUUAGCUAGUUGGUAGGGUAACGGCCUACCAAGGCGAUGAUCAUUAGGGGAACUGAGAGGUUGAUCCCCCACACUGGCACUGAGAUACGGGCCAGACUCCUACGGGAGGCAGCAGUAGGGAAUAUUGGUCAAUGGGUGAGAGCCUGAACCAGCCAUGCCGCGUGCAGGAAGACGGCCUUCUGGGUUGUAAACUGCUUUUACCUGGGAUAAAACACUGUGCGCAGUGGAUUGAAGGUACCAGGGGAAUAAGCCACGGCUAACUAC
rnacentral:rRNA from 1 species